rnacentral:misc_RNA from 1 species
AUGUGGCUCUUUCUGACUGAAC